UACAGAGGUCUCAAGCGUUGUUCGGAUUCAUUGGGCGUAAAGGGUGCGUAGGCGGCGCGGUAAGUCGGGUGUGAAAUCUCGGAGCUUAACUCCGAAACUGCAUUCGAUACUGCCGUGCUUGAGGACUGGAGAGGAGACUGGAAUUUACGGUGUAGCGGUGAAAUGCGUAGAUAAUCGUAAGGAAGACCAGUGGCGAAGGCGGGUCUCUGGACAGUUCCUGACGCUGAGGCACGAAGGUCAGGGAGCAAACGGG
rnacentral:rRNA from 1 species